rnacentral:rRNA from 1 species
AUUGAACGCUGGCGGCAGGCUUAACACAUGCAAGUCGAGCGGAGAUGAGGUGCUUGCACCUUAUCUUAGCGGCGGACGGGUGAGUAAUGCUUAGGAAUCUGCCUAUUAGUGGGGGACAACAUUCCGAAAGGAAUGCUAAUACCGCAUACGUCCUACGGGAGAAAGCAGGGGAUCUUCGGACCUUGCGUUAAUAGAUGAGCCUAAGUCGGAUUAGCUAGUUGGUGGGGUAAAGGCCUACCAAGGCGACGAUCUGUAGCGGGUCUGAGAGGAUGAUCCGCCACACUGGGACUGAGACACGGCCCAGACUCCUACGGGAGGCAGCAGUGGGGAAUAUUGGACCAUGGGGGGAACCCUGAUCCAGCCAUGCCGCGUGUGUGAAGAAGGCCUUAUGGUUGUAAAGCACUUUAAGCGAGGAGGAGGCUACUGAGACUAAUACUCUUGGAUAGUGGACGUUACUCGCAGAAUAAGCACCGGCUAACUCUGUGCCAGCCGCCGCGGUAACAC